rnacentral:rRNA from 1 species
AUGAACGCUGGCGGCGUGCCUAAUACAUGCAAGUCGAGCGAACAGACGAGGAGCUUGCUCCUCUGACGUUAGCGGCGGACGGGUGAGUAACACGUGGAUAACCUACCUAUAAGACUGGGAUAACUUCGGGAAACCGGAGCUAAUACCGGAUAAUAUAUUGAACCGCAUGGUUCAAUAGUGAAAGACGGUUUUGCUGUCACUUAUAGAUGGAUCCGCGCCGCAUUAGCUAGUUGGUAAGGUAACGGCUUACCAAGGCAACGAUGCGUAGCCGACCUGAGAGGGUGAUCGGCCACACUGGAACUGAGACACGGUCCAGACUCCUACGGGAGGCAGCAGUAGGGAAUCUUCCGCAAUGGGCGAAAGCCUGACGGAGCAACGCCGCGUGAGUGAUGAAGGUCUUCGGAUCGUAAAACUCUGUUAUUAGGGAAGAACAUAUGUGUAAGUAACUGUGCACAUCUUGACGGUACCUAAUCAGAAAGCCACGGCUAACUACGUG